rnacentral:rRNA from 1 species
UGGGGAAUCUUGGACAAUGGGCGCAAGCCUGAUCCAGCCAUGCCGCGUGAGUGAAGAAGGCCUUCGGGUUGUAAAGCUCUUUUACCAGGGACGAUAAUGACGGUACCUGGAGAAUAAGCCCCGGCAAACUUCGUGCCAGCAGCCGCGGUAAUACGAAAGGGGCUAGCGUUGUUCGGAAUUACUGGGCGUAAAGCGCACGUAGGCGGCCUUGUAAGUUGGGGGUGAAAUCCCAGGGCUCAACCCUGGAACUGCCUUCAAGACUGCAAAGCUAGAGGACGCGAGAGGUUAGCGGAAUUCCGAGUGUAGAGGUGAAAUUCGUAGAUAUUCGGAAGAACACCAGUGGCGAAGGCGGCUAACUGGCGCGUAUCUGACGCUGAGGUGCGAAAGCGUGGGGAGCAAACAGGAUUAGAUACCCAUGUAGUCCCUGAGCGGGCUGGCAAGGCGCAU